ensembl:lncRNA
UCAGAAGUGCUGGGCAGGGAAGGGGUUAAACCACGUUCCUCUGUAGGAAGCUCCCACAGCUUGUCAUAGUCAAGCCUGAGUCAGGUGUGAUUAAUAACUUUAAUGACUAUUAAUUAAGUACUAAGUAAUUACCAAGGAGGCUGUAGAAGCCUGGGUAGAAGAAAGGAGAAGGGUUUGGGUUUUCCCUCCACUUCUAGGGGUCAAGGUGAGGUAGGUGGGCAGUGGCUGGAUGUGGCCCCUCACCUGUGCUUCAUUAAAGCCUGAGCAGGGCAUAGAGUGGCUGCAGCUGCUUUCCUCCUCUACCUGCGUAUGGGAUGAGAAAUGAAAACCAGUACUUCUGUUUCUGGCUGCUUGACUCCCCAUUUCCAUAGCUUUGGCUUGUAGCAGGCUUGUGGUUGCCGCGAUCAUGAAGACUUGCUGACGAGAGGGCGAAAAUGAAGGGAAGCCUUGCCAGCCUAGAGGGAACUAGUUUCUUAUCAAACAUCUCACAACAUCUCCUUCUUACUUUUGGAUUUAAUAAACUUUGCAUUUUUGGAAAGAGCUCAUCAACAAAUUCAGCUGUUUUGCUGGUUGGGUCCAUCCCGCACAGGCAGAAAGCCCUUGGUUGACGUCCCUUUGCCACCUGCAUGCUCUGGGAUAGAGGAUGAUCCCUACACUGGGUUAUUAUACAACAUCAACUGCUGCAAAAAUGCUAAAACUAAAUCGUGGAGAAGGAGUAAGGUAACAGAGCUCCGAAGCUGCUAAUCUCAACGGAGAAAGUAGAAAAUCUUGUUAUUAUUACACUUCUCCAACUCCAGAUCCCAGUGAGCCACGUCUAGGUGAGGAUCAAUGGAACAGAUCAUUGGCAAUUUCCGACACAGCGACAUCUCACCCCGUGCUGCUGCCCAGCGCUGCACCAGCUCCAAGCUUGCUGUUUCCCUGAAAAUAUCAGUUGCAAACGGGGUCUCCUCCUCCUGAGAAAAUCAGUACUUAUCGACCAGGGACUGUUUUCAAACAGCUGUAAAAUGCAGAAUGUCCCUGUCACUCCGCAACGUCUCAGCUGAUGGUUCAUCAUUACAGCAUGUAACUACUUGGCUCCUGCAGAUGCAAAAUGUGCAACUUGAGGCAUUGAUGGCAUCUCACUAUUACAUAGAAAAAUGAAUGUCUGUCUCAAUCUAGCUUAGUUUAAAAAAAAAAAAAAAACAACACCUCAGCAGAAGAUGGUACGGUGUAUAGAUGCAUGUAUUUGCAAGUGUCAGCUUUGAAAAAGGAAGAAAAACGUGGGGCAGUGCUGUGCACCAUGGGCCAGCAGGGAUGGAAACGGAUUAGGUUUGCGCAGUGAGCUUGUGUGGUUGGAGGGAUGCUGAGUGAAAUAAAUAGGGCUCUGCCAUGGGUGAAGGCAAUUAGGACAGCCCAACUCAUGGCCCUAGUGCUGACGGGCUCUGUCAGGCUCCAAGCUGGGGUUGCUGCUCUCUAUAGGAGGCUGGUGUACCAGCAGCAUUUGGUAACCAAGGGACAAAAUAGCAAAAGCACUCUUGCAGUUCCUGUAUUUCCUCUCCCUCUCCUUUCUCUGACACAAUUCACCUGUUGUGGGAAGGGGAUGGUGAAU